rnacentral:tRNA from 1 species
GGGUGGGUGGCUCAGUGGUUAGAGCCUAGGUCUCGUAACCGAAAGGUUCCUAGUUCGAAACCCGCCAGAGGCA